rnacentral:rRNA from 1 species
GACGAACGCUGGCGGCGUGCUUUACACAUGCAAGUCGAACGGAAAGGCUCCAGCUUGCUGGAGUGCUCGAGUGGCGAACGGGUGAGUAACACGUGGGCAAUCUGCCCUGCACUCUGGGAUAAGCCUGGGAAACUGGGUCUAAUACCGGAUAGGACCUUUCUCCUCAUGGGGUUUGGUGGAAAGUUUUUCGGUGCAGGAUGAGCCCGCGGCCUAUCAGCUUGUUGGUGGGGUAAUGGCCUACCAAGGCGACGACGGGUAGCCGGCCUGAGAGGGUGAUCGGCCACAUUGGGACUGAGAUACGGCCCAGACUCCUACGGGAGGCAGCAGUGGGGAAUAUUGCACAAUGGGCGAAAGCCUGAUGCAGCGACGCCGCGUGAGGGAUGACGGCCUUCGGGUUGUAAACCUCUUUCAGUAGGGACGAAGCGCAAGUGACGGUACCUGCAGAAGAAGCACCGGCUAACUACGUG